CCUACGGGAGGCAGCAGUGAGGAAUAUUGGUCAAUGGGCGAGAGCCUGAACCAGCCAAGUCGCGUGAAGGAUGACGGCCCUACGGGUUGUAAACUUCUUUUGUCAGGGAGCAAUUGGGUCCACGCGUGGGCUUAGCGAGAGUACCUGAAGAAAAAGCAUCGGCUAACUCCGUGCCAGCAGCCGCGGUAAUACGGAGGAUGCGAGCGUUAUCCGGAUUUAUUGGGUUAAAAGGGUGCGUAGGCGGAAUAUCAAGUCAGCGGUAAAAAUUCGGGGCUCAACCCCGUCGUGCCGUUGAAACUGAUGUUCUGGAGUGGGCGAGAAGUAGGCGGAAUGCGUGGUGUAGCGGUGAAAUGCAUAGAUAUCACGCAGAACUCCGAUUGCGAAGGCAGCAUACCGGCGCCCAACUGACGCUGAAGCACGAAAGCGUGGGUAUCGAACAGGAUUAGAUACCCGAGUAGUC
rnacentral:rRNA from 1 species